rnacentral:rRNA from 1 species
GUAUGGUGCAAGCGUUAUCCGGAUUUACUGGGUGUAAAGGGAGCGUAGACGGCACGGCAAGCCAGAUGUGAAAGCCCGGGGCUCAACCCCGGGACUGCAUUUGAAACUGCUGAGCUAGAGUGUCGGAGAGGCAAGUGGAAUUCCUAGUGUAGCGGUGAAAUGCGUAGAUAUUAGGAGGAACACCAGUGGCGAAGGCGGCUUGCUGGACGAUGACUGACGUUGAGGCUCGAAAGCGUGGGGAGCAAACAGGAUUAGAUACCCUGGUAGUCCACGCCGUAAACGAUGAUUGCUAGGUGUAGGUGGGUAUGGACCCAUCGGUGCCGCAGCUAACGCAAUAAGCAAUCCACCUGGGGAGU